UACGGUAGGGGCAAGCGUUGUCCGGAUUUAUUGGGCGUAAAGAGCUCGUAGGUGGUUCGGUAAGUCGGAUGUGAAAUCUCCAGGCUCAACCUGGAGGGGUCAUUCGAUACUGCCGUGACUAGAGGUCGGUAGGGGAGUGUGGAAUUCCUGGUGGAGCGGGUGAAAUGCGCAGAUAUCAGGAGGAACACCCGUAGCGAAGGCGGCACUCUGGGCCGAUUCUGACACUGAGGAGCGAAAGCGUGGGGAGCGAACAGG
rnacentral:rRNA from 1 species